UUUUUGUACAGGGAGGCUGUUUGCGUCUGUCACUGUGAUUCUCUGGCACAAUAAUACACAGCUGUGUCUUGAGCUUGCAUAUUAUUUCCCUGCAGUGUUAUUGUGUUACUGGAGGUGUCUCUGCUGAUGCUGAACUUGCUUUUCAGUGAAUCCUUGUAGUAUAAGCUUCCACCAGAGCUGAUCACUCCAAUCCAUUCCAGAGCUUUUCCUGCAGGCUGACGAAUCCAGGCUGUAUGAUAACUAGUAACUGAAUAUGAGACUUUACAGUUGAUAGUUAGAGUGGCAUCAGGACGGACAGUCAGAGACUCAGGCUGAGUGAGUUCCUCUGAAUGAAUACCUGUAUCAAAUGAAAUAAUACCUGUUAGUAAAAUAGCAUGAAGUUUAAAGACUGUUA